rnacentral:rRNA from 1 species
CGGGGGAAAGCAGGGGAUCACUUGUGACCUUGCGUUAGUAGAUGAGCCUAAGUCGGAUUAGCUAGUUGGUGGGGUAAAGGCCUACCAAGGCGACGAUCUGUAGCGGGUCUGAGAGGAUGAUCCGCCACACUGGGACUGAGACACGGCCCAGACUCCUACGGGAGGCAGCAGUGGGGAAUAUUGGACAAUGGGGGGAACCCUGAUCCAGCCAUGCCGCGUGUGUGAAGAAGGCAUUAUGGUUGUAAAGCACUUUAAGCGAGGAGGAGGCUCUUUUGGUUAAUACCCAAGAUGAGUGGACGUUACUCGCAGAAUAAGCACCGGCUAACUCUGUGCCAGCAGCCGCGGUAAUACAGAGGGUGCGAGCGUUAAUCGGAUUUACUGGGCGUAAAGCGUGCGUAGGCGGCUUUUUAAGUCGGAUGUGAAAUCCCCGAGCUUAACUUGGGAAUUGCAUUCGAUACUGGGAAGCUAGAGUAUGGGAGAGGAUGGUAGAAUUCCAGGUGUAGCGGUGAAAUGCGUAGAGAUCUGGAGGAAUACCGAUGGCGAAGGCAGCCAUCUGGCCUAAUACUGACGCUGAGGUACGAAAGCAUGGGGAGCAAACAGGAUUAGAUACCCUGGUAGUCCAUGCCGUAAACGAUGUCUACUAGCCGUUGGGGUCUUUGAGACUUUAGUGGCGCAGCUAACGCGAUAAGUAGACCGC